GGCGCUCUGGGGCCGGGAUCGGCGUCGGGGUCGGGGUUGGGGUUGGUUCACCGCAGCAGCCCCAGCUCCUGCGCCCUCCCUGGACUGAGGUGUGCUCGCUUUGAGGAGAAGCCUGGAGUGAUCCGCUGCCUCGGGUCGGAACGUUUCCAUUCAUUCCGCUAGCAUUUAUUGAGCGCUUAUGAUAUGUCAGUCCCCGGAGUCCGAAAGAGGAAUCAGACACAGCUUCCCUGCCCUGUAUGUUACAAGUCACUCUGCCUCUGUGGGGAGAAGGCAACUUCUUCAUGAACUCGAACAUCCUUUGCAAUUCUGUAUCAGAUACUUGGCAGGGUUUAAAAAAACAUGGCACCUCUUAUAACUUUUCACCCCCAAUAUUAUGUUUUAUCUGCUAAUAAAAUAAUUAUUUGGUAAAACA
ensembl:lncRNA SQLE-DT SQLE divergent transcript